GAUGAACGCUGGCGGCGGGCCUAAUACAUGCAAGUCGAGCGAACGAACGAGAAUCUUGCUUUUCUGCAGUUAGCGGCGGACGAGUGAGUACCACGUGGAUAACCUAUCUAUAAGACUGGGAUAACUUCGGGAGCCCGGAGAUCGUACAGGAUAAUAUUUUGAAACGCAGGGUUCAUAAGACAAAGCCGGACUUGAUGACACUAAUAGAUGGAACCGGGCUGGAUUAGCUAGUUGGUAAGGUAACGGCCUACCAAGGCAACGAUGCAUAACUGAUCUGAGAGGGUGAUCAGUCACACUGGAACUGAGACACGGUCCAGACUCCUACGGGAGGCAGCAGUAGGGAAUAUUGGGCAAUGGGCGAAAGCCUGAUGCAGCAACGCCGCGUGUGUGAUGAAGGUCUUCGGAUCGUAAAGCUCUGUAAGUUGGGAGGAACAUAAGUAAGUUUAACUCUUGCUGUCUUGACGUUACCAACAGAAAAAGCCACGGCUAACUUCGUG
rnacentral:rRNA from 1 species